GUGAGUCAUCGAAUCUUUGAACGCAUAUUGCGCCCUUUGGCAUUCCGAAGGGCAUGCCUGUUCGAGCGUCAUUAUCACCCCUCAAGCCCCCGGCUUGGUGUUGGACGGUUUGGUUUUGGCGACAAGACCCCUCCAAAAGCUAAUGACGGCGGCCUGUGCGACUCCCGGUACACUGAGCUUAACUGAGCACGUACCGGCUUCAGGGUUGACAGGGCCCGGUCUUCUUCCUUCACGGGAAAUACUUUCCACAAGGUUGACCUCGGAUCAGGUAGGGAUACCCGCUGAACUUAAGCAUAUCAAUAAGCGGAGGA
rnacentral:misc_RNA from 1 species